rnacentral:rRNA from 1 species
CUCCUUCUUGUAGAACCGUAAUGCCAUUAAUUUAGUGUUGCGGGGAAACAGGACUGUUACUUUGAAAAAAUUAGAGUGUUUAAAGCAGGCUAACGCUUGAAUACAUUAGCAUGGAAUAAUGAAAUAGGACGACGAUCCUAUUUUGUUGGUUUCUAGGAUUGACGUAAUGAUUAAUAGGGAUAGUUGGGGGCAUUAGUAUUCAAUUGUCAGAGGUGAAAUUCUUGGAUUUAUUGAAGACUAACUACUGCGAAAGCAUUUGCCAAGGAUGUUUUCAUUAAUCAAGAACGAAAGUUAGGGGAUCGAAGACGAUCAGAUACCGUCGUAGUCUUAACCAUAAACUAUGCCGACAAGGGAUCGGAUGAUGUUAAUUUUUA